rnacentral:rRNA from 1 species
UUGAUUUUACCGGAUGGUGGAAUCAUAAAAGGCGCUUUAGGUGUCACUGAUGGAUGGGCCCGCGGUGCAUUAGUGAGUUGGUGGGGUAAUGGCCUACCAAGACCAUGAUGCAUAGCCGACCUGAGAGGGUGAUCGGCCACACUGGGACUGAGACACGGCCCAGACUCCUACGGGAGGCAGCAGUAGGGAAUCUUCGGCAAUGGAC